rnacentral:rRNA from 1 species
AUUGAACGCUGGCGGCAGGCCUAACACAUGCAAGUCGAGCGAGCGGCGGACGGGUGAGUAAUGUAUGGGGACUGCCCGAUAGCGGGGGAUAACUACUGGAAACGGUGGCUAAUACCGCAUACUACAGGAUAACCCAUAUGGGAUUAGCUAGUAGUUGGGGUAAAGGCUCACCUAGGCGACGAUCUCUAGCUGGUCUGAGGGGAUGAGCGGCCACACGGGGACUAGGACACGGCCCAGAGUCCAACGGAGGCAGAAGUGGGGAAUAUUGCCCAAUGGGCGCAAGCCUGAUACAGACAUGCCGCGUGUAUGAGGAAGGCCUUAGGGUUGUAAGGUACUUUCAGCAGGGAGGCGUUACCCACAGAAGAAGCACCGGCUAACUCCGUGCCAGCAGCCGCGGUAAUAC